UGGGGAAUAUUGGACAAUGGGCGGAAGCCUGAUCCAGCAACGCCGCGUGAGGGAUGACGGCCUUCGGGUUGUAAACCUCUUUCAGCACAGACGAAGCGCAAGUGACGGUAUGUGCAGAAGAAGGACCGGCCAACUACGUGCCAGCAGCCGCGGUAAUACGUAGGGUCCGAGCGUUGUCCGGAAUUAUUGGGCGUAAAGGGCUCGUAGGCGGUUUGUCGCGUCGGGAGUGAAAACCUACAGCUUAACUGUGGGCUUGCUUUCGAUACGGGCAGACUUGAGGCAUGCAGGGGAGAACGGAAUUCCUGGUGUAGCGGUGAAAUGCGCAGAUAUCAGGAGGAACACCGGUGGCGAAGGCGGUUCUCUGGGCAUGUUCUGACGCUGAGGAGCGAAAGUGUGGGGAGCGAACA
rnacentral:rRNA from 1 species